rnacentral:tRNA from 1 species
GUGGCUGUAGUUCAGAUGGUAGAACACCGGGUUGUGAUCCCGGAUGUCGCGGGUUCGAUCCCCGUCAGUCACCCCA